CGGGAUCCCCGGUUCGAGUCCCGGUCCCGCCUUCCCGCGGGCACUGUGGCCUGGUGUCCUACUUUUAGAAUGUCGCCUGAGAACAGUGCCCGUGGGUCACAGAAGACACUGGAGCUGCCUGAAGAGGAUUUGAGAGCUCUUAUUCUUCCCCAUUAGCAGAAAGUAAUUCCCUAGGCUUAGAAAAGUACAUCUUAACAGAGGGCUUGAUAACCACAUUGGAAAGUGUCAAGUAGGCAUAAAACACUGCCAGAUGUCAGAAGUGAGGUCCUUCAAUAACAUUUGAGCCACGAAGAGUGGCUAUAGGUCACUGGCAGCAAUCAGGAAGCAUGCAAUAGCCCAAAGCAGAAAUCAGUGUUGCAAUAUCCCAGAACAUCCUUAUCGAAAACUUUAGCAAACUUGCAAAACCUACUCAGUGUUUACAUUUGAAUUGCAGAUGUUUUAAAAUGCUGCUGCAACUACACAAUCCACAUUGAUUAAUACUAGAUCUCGGGGGGGUUUUCCACUGUUGUGUACUAUGAAAAUAACGUGGCUAACUCUGAGUUUUCAUAUUUUUCACUUUAUUGAACUUAGAAAAUUUUGUGUUGUUGUUAUUCCCAAUGUUUUCCUUCCUUGUCAUUAUUGUGAGGAACUAAUUAAAUAUUUUUGCUGUUUUAUCCAGUAUGGAAGGUUAACAAA